AUUUUACCCACAAGACAAGAAACAAUUAACACAACACAAUCAAGGAAACACUUCAGACAGUAGAAAGCCAAAUACAGUACUUUGAAGGAAAAGCAGAAACAGAUGAUUGAGAGAAACAAAAAAAGCAGAAAGAAGUAAGGUGUCCAUGAAAGGUAGAGUUGAGGAGAUCAAUAUCUAACGAGUCAUGGCUGAUGCAACACGUGGAGCUUCCAGAUAGCACAAAGUAAACAACAAGAGUGAACGCAACAAUCUGAGCAUGGUUCUUCAGGUUCGUGGCAAAUUGCUGGUUC
rnacentral:sRNA from 1 species